GAUGAACGCUGGCGGCGUGCUUAACACAUGCAAGUCGAACGAGAAUCAACGGAUUGAGGAUUCGUCCAAAUGAAGUUGAGGAAAGUGGCGGACGGGUGAGUAACGCGUGAGGAACCUGCCUCGGAGUGGGGAAUAACAGUUAGAAAUGACUGCUAAUACCGCAUAUGCCUAAGUACCACAUGGUACAAUAGGGAAAGGAGCAAUCCGCUGAUAGAUGGGCUUGCGUCUGAUUAGCUAGUUGGUGGGGUAAAGGCCUACCAAGGCGACGAUCAGUAGCCGGACUGAGAGGUUGAACGGCCAUAUUGGGACUGAGAUACGGCCCAG
rnacentral:rRNA from 1 species